GAAUGUCAUGAUCUUAUUUUUGCAUAUGCAUAGUUUGAUGAGAAAGGUAAGAUAAAAAUUUGUCAAAAAAAUCUAAACCACUAUUAUAUUCUGUAUGUACUUAACUUUCUUUGCUUUCUGUUUCCAGAGAAACAUUUGAUAGAAUAGAACACCUAUAGAAGAAAUGAUAAAAGAUACUUUUUAAUGAGGACUGCAAAUUUGUGAUUUAUUUUUCCUCUUGUGACCUUAACUUUGACAUUUAGGUUUUAGGAGAAGUUUCAGUACGACUUCUGCUUCUUCCCAAAAAGAGAUUAACAGAAGAAAUGCAUUUGCCAACCCGAGACCUGCCCUGCGCCGCGGCCGGGGCCGCACCACCUCCGCUGGGAGCGGGGAAGGGAGCGUGAAGCUGCACGAGGGGUCCCAGGUCCUCCUCACCAGCUCCAAUGAGAUGGGGACCGUUAGGUAUGUGGGCCCCACGGACUUUGCCUCUGGAAUCUGGCUUGGACUUGAGCUUCGAGGUGCCAAGGGGAAGAACGACGGAGCCGUGGGGGACACGCGCUACUUUACCUGUAAGCCAAACCACGGAGUCUUAGUCAGGCCCAGCAGAGUAACCUAUCGGGGAAUAAAUGGGUCAAAGCUUGUGGAUGAGAAUCGUUGAGGUAAACUUCUAACAUAUUCAGUGAGCUCACAUACAGGCAUAAAGAGGCCAUGGCCAGUGGUUUAUUUAGCCAUUAUUUUAGGUUUGAAAAUAGAGCUGUCUUCCUUAAGAAAAACCAUUAUAACAAUUCAGAGAGACUCCUUUAGAAAGCUAGAAAUCUGAACCAUGGCAACCAUGGUUCUCUUAAAACAAGUUCAAAAUAAGCAUUUUUAAGAGCUUUUAAAGCUUUAGAGCCAAGGAAAUUCUGAGACUUAGGGAAAAAAAAUGUGCCAUUAGGUAACCAACUGACGUUGCUUACUCGGUUUCAUUUUUGCACAUAAUACUGGAUUUUUCGUAGGCUGUCAUCCGUGAGAGUUUUCACCGGCUUUGGUUAACAUAUGACCUUCACAUACUUUUUUCUGUCAAGUAUUUUUGGAGUUUUUCUUUCUGUACUAAUAAGAAGAGCAGCUUAUGAUUAGUGUAUUUUUCAUGUUUUUUUUGGAAAUGAUUUGCCCUUUCAGGAAUGCCUCAUCUAGAGAUACAUUAAAACUCUAGAGUCAAAUGGGCCUUCGAGGCUCUUCUGCUGAGCCUCUCAGCUAUUGCCAGAUAGAGAAAUGGAAGUUCUAGAGCAGUUCUUUUACCUGGAGUCUCUAACUAGCUGAUUAACAGAGCUCAGAAUAGAAUGGGGGUCUCCUGACCUGUGGCUCAUGCUCUUUCCUCUAUACAAAGUAUGUAAUCACAGAUUUUUCUUCUGUGUUGGCAAUUGCCUCAUCUGAAUGAACUACAAAACCCCACCAUUAGGUUUAUGAAUUCAAGUCAUAAUUGGAAUUUUUUGCACAGACUUGUCUAAUUCCUUAUUGGACAUACCUAUAAAACACACACACGAAGCACUUUUAAAACAAUGCACUUUCAUCUUUGUGGAGAAUUUGCCAUUAUUUCUUCCUGGGAUAUGAAAAACAUUUAGAAAAAUUAUAUUUAAGAGAAGAGAGUAAAUUAAGAUGUGUUAGGAAAAAUAUAAUAGUUACUUAAAUGUUUAUGAUUUCUCGAUGUUUUUGGUCCUAUUCAUAAAACUGGUGUUGUGUUUGCUACCUUUGCUGUUUUUAUGUUUUCAGUUGUUGCAAAAUUCAGCCUGUUACAAAGCUACAGAAUUGUAUCAUGUUUUUGUAUUUCUUUUUGAGCACAUGUUAACAAACUGGGCUUCAAAAUAGAGUGAUAUAAUGUAAAACGUUUGUGUUGUGGAUAUGUAUUGACAUUUAUGUCCUAUAUGUGUAAAGAUUUAUCUUUUAUUGUAGAUAUGUAGCCUUUAAACUACAUAGAAAUAUUGAAACAGUUUAUAAGAUUAAAAGUAUCCUUUAGAAUGGAGCUCGCUUUGUGCUUAGAAAUAAUAUGUUGAACUAUUUUGCAAUAUACUAUUUAAAAUCUAAAUUCUGUUGCUUUGCUGCCUUUUUAAAAAGAAGUGUGGUAUUUCAAAUAUUGCCAGAGCUAUUUUCCUGAUAUACAUUUGCAAAAUAUGGCUUUAUAAUCAAGGAAUAUUUUUAUUGAUUGAAGAAAAUGCCUGUAUUGCAAUUCAAAAGUAAACUUAUUUUAUUAUACAGCUUAUUUCUUUAAAACUCUAUUUAUACCUUAAUAUGGAAUUCAUGAUUACUUUGAACUUGGGUGUCCAUAAUUCUGUUAAAUAUGAAACACUGUAAGAAACAGUAAUGCCAACUCUAAGGUCAGGGAAACAAUUGUUCUCAUGUUUAGAUUAGGAUCAUUAAAUCCAUAUAAUGUAUAUGUUUACAUAUACUAUACAUACAAAUGAGGUGUUUUCAUUUGUGUUUUGCUUACUAAAUGUCAUUCACAGUUCAAUUCUUGAGCAUUAAUAAAAAAGGGAAGCUGUUUUGGUCUUGGAA